UGAUAAUAUUAAUUCUGCCUAUCCAAGAGCAAGGUAGAUCUUUUCACAUUCUAAGGUCUUCUUUGAUUUCUUUAUUUAGGGUUCUGUAAUUUUCAUUGUAUAGAUUUUCACUUCUUUCACUGAUUCCCAAGUUUUUUUUUUUUUGAGGCUAUUGAAAAUGGAGGUAGUUUUCCUCAUUUCCCUUUCUGAGGAUUUGUCACUGAUAUACAGAAAUGCCUUUGAUUUAUGGGUGUUGAUUUUAUAUUCUGAAACUUUGCUGAAUUUAUUUUCUAGUUCUAGAAAUUUUCUGGUGGAGCUUUUUGGGUCUUCUAGGUAUAGAAUCAUGUCAUCAUAAAUAGUACCAAUUUGAAUUCUUCUUUUCCUAUGUGUAUUUCUUUAAUUUCUUUCAUCUAAUUGCUCUGGCCAGUGUUUCAAGAACUAUGUUGAAUAGAAGUGGUGAAAGAGGGCAUCCCUGUCAUGCUCCAGUUUUUAGAGGGAAUGCUUUCAGUUUUUCCUCCACUUAGAAGUAUGUUGGCCUGGGGCUUAGUAUAGAUAGCCUUUAUAAUGUGGAGAUAUGUUCCUGUUAUCCCUAGUUUUCUAGUGUUUUGAACAUAAAGGGGAGCUGUAUUUUGUCGAAUGCUUUUUCUGCCACUAUUGAAAUGAUCAUAUGAUUCUUAUCUUUAAAUCUAUUGAUGUGGUGAAUUACAUUUAUUGAUUUCCUUAACCAACCUUGCAUCCCUGGGAUGAAUCCCACUUGAUCGUGGUGCACAAUCUUUUUGAUGUGUUUUUGCAUUCAAUUUGACAUAAUUUAUUGAGAAUUUUUGCAUCUAUGUUCAUUAGAUAUUGGUCUGACAUUUUUCUUUUUUUGAUCUGUCUUUGCCUGGUUUUGGAAUCAGGGUGACAUUGGCAUCAUAGAGUGAGUUUGGAAGUGCUGCCUCUUUUUCUAUUUCCUGAAAUAAACUGAGGAGUAUUGGUAUUAGUUCUUCUUUAAAGGUCUUGUAGAGCUCGGCUGUGUAUCUGUCUGGUCCUGGGCUUUUCUUGGUUGGUAGACUUUUGAUGGUGUCUGCUAUUUUGUCACUUGAAAUUGAUGUUUAAAUUGUGUAUGUCAUCCUGAUUCAAUUUGGGCGAAUUAUAUGACUCUAGAAAUUUUCGAUGCCUUUGAUAUUUUCUAUUUUAUUGGAGUACAAGUUUUCAAUAUAAUUUCCGGUUAUCUUCUGUAUUUCUGCAAUGUCUGUUUUGAUAUCUCCUUUUUCAUCACGUAUGCUAGUAAUCUGAGUUUUCUCUCUCCUUCUCUUUGUUAGCAUGGCUAAGGAUCUAUAAAUUCUAUUUAUUUUUUUCAAAGAACCAACUUUUUGUUCUGUCAAUUUUUUUCAAUUGUUUCUUUUGUUUCAGUU
rnacentral:lncRNA from 1 species